rnacentral:rRNA from 1 species
CGGCGCCACGAGUGGCAUCCGUAUUUACUUGGCCUAAAGCGUCCGUAGCCUGUUUGAUAAAUCUCUUGUGAAAUCGUCAAGCUCAACUUGACGACGUGCAGGAGAGACUGUCCGACUUGGAACCGGGAGGAGUCAGAAGAAUUUCUUGGGGAGCGGUAAAAUGCUAUAAUCCUUGAAAGACUACCUGUGGCGAAGGCGUCUGACUAGAACGGAUUCGACGGUGAGGGACGAAAGCCAGGGGAGCGAACCGGAUUAGAUACCCGCGUAGUCC